UACGGAGGAUGCGAGCGUUAUCCGGAUUUAUUGGGUUUAAAGGGUGCGUAGGCUGUGAGGUAAGUCAGCGGUGAAAUGCCCCCGCUCAACGGGGUGAAGUGCCAUUGAUACUGCCUUGCUGGAAUGCGGAUGCCGUGGGAGGAAUGUGUGGUGUAGCGGUGAAAUGCUUAGAUAUAACUUAGAACUCCGAUAGCGAAGGCAGCUUACCAGACUGCGACUGACGCUGAAGCACGAGAGCGUGGGUAGCGAACAGG
rnacentral:rRNA from 1 species